AAACAGGACCGGCCGGUUUCUUCGUCUCCACUGCUGGAGACGAAGAAUUUCUUCGUCUCCGGCCAUGGAGACGAAGAAACUGGCCGGAAUCUGUUU
rnacentral:pre_miRNA from 10 species